GUCCACGCCGUAAACGAUGGGCACUAGGUGUCGGGGGUAUCCACUCCCUCGGUGCCGCCGCUAACGCAUUAAGUGUCCCGCCUGGGAAGUACGGUCGCAAGAUUAAAACUCAAAGGAAUUGACGGGGGCCCGCACAAGCGGUGGAGCAUGUGGUUCAAUUCGAUGCAACGCGAAGAACCUUACCUGGGUUUGACAUCUGGCGGAUCUCGGUGAAAGCCGAGAGUGCCCGCAAGGGAGCGCCAAGACAUGUGCUGCAUGGCUGUCGU
rnacentral:rRNA from 1 species